GGCUGUGCAGACUUGAAUAGCUCUCUGUGUCCUGCUCUGAACUCAGGUGUUGGGUGCUGUAAGGGGACCUCAGCUAAGCUCUGAAGUUGAGACACAGGGUCACUGCCCACAAUUCAGAGGAGCAGAUUUUCACCUGUCCAUUUGUAACUGUUUAAACAUGCAUUCCCUUUUAGUAAAAUGUUAUUAAUGUUGUAGUUUAAACUGGUAUACUUCAUGUUUCUGGAAGAUGAAUACAGGAUUGCAGUGAAUUUAUAAUUGUUUGUAUUAGCUUCAGUAAAGAAUUGUGAGUUCUAUCACUUUUGUUUCCUUGGUUGAUAUUUGCAGUGGAAUGAGGAUCUUAAUAUAAAAGUUUUCCUGUCGUGGAACUAGUUGCAUAGACCACACUGGAAUCCAGCUCAAUGAUAUACGCCUGUCUGUUACUCUAGGAUUAACGACAUGAUCAAAUACACUCAGUUUGUGUAUUAAUUUUGUAGUUAGUAGUUGUUCAUACAAUUUCUUGUAUGUGUUCUUGGUACUGUUGAUCUGUUUCCCCCUGCAUCUCCCUCUCAUUUGGCAUUUUUUUCUUUUUUUUUCUUUUUUUUUUUCAACGCUAUAUCCUAUUCAAAGGCUUCAGAAGCAACACAAGUAAACCUUACAAUUUGUUUCUUCUAAAAUGACAUGAUGAUUGCAAUAUAACUUCUGUGUCAGGGAAUGAGUGUAGGUAACACCUGAACUAUGUGAUUAUGCUGCCUAGGAAGCAUGCAUCUACUUUACAGUGAUGUCAGUAUCCUGUAUGGGAUACUGUAGGAUGCAGUGACUUAUGAUGCUGUGCAUGUGAACUUUACUAGGGAAGAGUAGAAUUUGCUGGAUCCUUCCUAGAAGAGUCUACAAAGAUGUGAUGCAGGGAACCUACUUGGACCUCACUGUUAUAGGA
rnacentral:lncRNA from 1 species